GAUCAUGGCUCAGGAUGAACGCUAGCUACAGGCUUAACACAUGCAAGUCGAGGGGCAGCAUAACGAAAGCUUGCUUUGUGAUGGCGACCGGCGCACGGGUGAGUAACGCGUAUCCAACCUUCCCUAUACUAGAGAAUAGCCCGGCGAAAGUCGGAUUAAUGCUCUAUGUUCUUCUUUGAUGGCAUCUGACGAGAAGCAAAGGUUUACCGGUAUAGGAUGGGGAUGCGUCUGAUUAGGUUGUUGGCGGGUAACGGCCCACCAAGCCUACGAUCAGUAGGGGUUCUGAGAGGAAGGUCCCCCACAUUGGUACUGAGACACGGACCAAACUCCUACGGGAGGCAGCAGUGAGGAAUAUUGGUCAAUGGGCGAGAGCCUGAACCAGCCAAGUAGCGUGCAAGGAUGACUGCCCUAUGGGUUGUAAACUGCUUUUAUGCGGGAAUAAAGUCAGGUACGUGUACCUGUUUGUAUGUACCGCAUGAAUAAGGACCGGCUAAUUCCGUGCCAGCCGCAGC
rnacentral:rRNA from 1 species